rnacentral:rRNA from 1 species
GGGUGCGAUCAUACCAGCACUAAUGCACCGGAUCCCAUCAGAACUCCAAAGUUAAGCGUGCUUGGGCGAGAGUAGUACUAGGAUGGGUGACCUACUGGGAAGUCCUCGCUAAUUUUUUUCU